CUCUCUCUCUCUCCCUCAAUCGUUACCACCAGCCGCGACUGCCUCCACCUCUCUCUCCUCAGAUUGAGCGUUACAGAUAUGCAGUGUAGGUGUUUCACCAAGGCCUUCUAAUAAAAGUUUGUAGGGGCAUUACUUUCAUUGAUACUCCAAGAAGGAUAGGUGGAAAAGAGAUACUUACAUUUGAUUCGGCAGCAGGGUUCAUAUUCCCAGAGGUCAAGAAAGCCCCACCAAGGGGUUCUUAUUUCCAUCUUUUAUCAAGAGCAGUAAAAACAACAGCCUUCUUUAUUUUCAGCUGUCAAUGGUCAAUCUACUGUUCAGCAGGUCACACCAACAGUUGGCAGAGCUCCAAAUAAUCAGGAAAAAGCAGAAAAUGAACUUAAGAAACUACUUCAAAGCCUUGGUUUCAGGGUUUUACAUAUCCACUUCGAACUCAUUUUCUGGAAGUUACUGGUUAUAGGUUGACUAUAUACAAUCAGAUUGAUGAUUAUGGGAAAGAAGAGAAGUGGAGAAUGCAGAAACAGGUCUUUGCUUUCUUUGAUGUUGAGAAACUUGGAUCCAUCAAAUUUAGACAACUGUUCCUGUGACAACAGGCGUAUCACACGAAGAGGAAACCUUGACAAAAUUGCCUACAUGAUGAGCUGCACUUCUAUUGGACAUGGCAAAACACCCAAUCAUUCAGCCAUUUUGUUGGUUGGAUAUCUUUGAUAGAUCACUUUCCACAAAUUGCAUGGAUUGGGAGAUCCUAGCCACCAAGAUGAUGGAUCAUUUGCACUAUUGUAGACCAUUUUGCCAACAUUCCUCAAAAACCAACCAUUACACUGAUUGGAUGCAUCAGCAGGAAUUCCCAACCGGGACCCCACCAAAUGAUCUCUCCAGGUCACUGUGCUGAUGUCCAAUUUGAGUGCAGUUCACAUUCAAGGAAACCUGGUACUCUGUGUACAGGCUAGGUCUCCUAUUUUUCAAGUAGUUCUUGCCAAAUUGAGAUUCAAGCUCACAGCAUGACCCAUUGAUGAAAUUUCGAGAUUGUUUCCAAUUGAUUACCCCACAGUUCUUGCUCGGAUCAGCCCAUAUAAUGAAGCAGCCAUUGUUUAAGCAAGCUUGCAUAGCAGCCUUUACUGGUUGUGAUGACGAAAGCAAGGGUUACAUCACAAAGCAACAAGUAACAUUGCUCUGUUGUUUUCCCGUAACAAGCUUUUUGCCCCCUUGUCUCUGAUUCUAUUGUGUGCACAAUUAGGAGAUGCCAUCCAUUCUGCAAUGCCGAGCAUGAAUGACGAUAAUGUAUACGAGAGACAUUAUUAUAAUUUCUGUCAGGGCAUGUACUACGAUGGCAAGAAAUACCAUUAUUAUAAU